rnacentral:rRNA from 1 species
AUACGGAGGGUGCAAGCGUUACUCGGAAUCACUGGGCGUAAAGCGCGCGCAGGCGGGCUGAUAAGUUGGAUGUGAAAGCCUACGGCUCAACCGUAGAACUGCAUCCAAAACUGUCAGUCUAGAGUCUGGGAGGGGAAGAUGGAAUUAGUUGUGUAGGGGUAAAAUCCGUAGAGAUAACUAGGAAUACCAAAAGCGAAGGCAAUCUUCUGGAACACUACUGACGCUGAGGCGCGAAAGCGUGGGGAGCAAACAGGAUUAGAAACCCUAGUAGUCC